GCAUUUGGUUCUUUCGAGGAUUAAAAAGGGAACUUGGGUGUGAAUCCCAGACAGUCCCGCUGCGGUAUUUUCCUGAAAUCUGAACUACAUUAUUGCCACUGGAAGGUUUCUUCUGGGAAGGCUUUGUGGGGAGGAGGAAUAAGUCCGAAGACCUGCCAAGAUG
rnacentral:ncRNA from 1 species